rnacentral:rRNA from 1 species
UACGUAGGUGGCAAGCGUUGUCCGGAUUUAUUGGGUUUAAAGGGUGCGUAGGCGGCUUGAUAAGUCAGUGGUGAAAGCCGAUCGCUUAACGAUCGAACUGCCAUUGAUACUGUUGGGCUUGAGUAUAGAUGAGGUAGGCGGAAUUGACAGUGUAGCGGUGAAAUGCAUAGAUAUUGUCAAGAACACCAAUUGCGAAGGCAGCUUACUAAGUUAUAACUGACGCUGAGGCACGAAAGUGCGGGGAUCAAACAGG